rnacentral:lncRNA from 1 species
AUUUAAACCUGCCUCCCCCCCUUUGGGGAUCUCACUUUGUACAGGAGCUUCUUCAAUCUUUCCUUCCAUCUUGUUUGGCGUCGAUGUAGUUUGUAAUCCCUCACUGGUUCUUGCAUUGAGUCGUCGUUCACCGAACUUCUUCUGUCUUCCAUCUCGUUUGUUGUCGAUGUAGUUUGAAGGUUCCUGGUUGCCACCGUGUCGAUUUGCCCUUAGGAACUAGAGAUUUUCGACAAGAGUUUUCUCUCUCAUCGAGACGAGAUCCCUUGUGCCUUUGAUGUGGUUCGUUUUUCACCUAUUGUCGGUGUAAUUCGUCAUUUUUCUUUUCGUCUCCCCUCUUUUUGUGUUUGAGUGAGGGUCUUCCCUCUGCUCUUAACCGGGCCAUGAGAGUGUGGAGGAGUCAUUGAAGAAGCUUUCCUCCUUGUUGAUCAACAGAGUCUUUGUUUGCGUCGGGAUGAGGUCCUCCCCUUGUUCCCGACAGUCGAUUUCGGCUCGUGUCAGAACGAGGUUCUCCUCCUGUUCCUGACAAGGCUAUGGGGGCACAUAAGGGCCAUUGUGAGGGCCUCUCCCCCCAUUCGAUCUUUAAAAAAUUGGGCC